rnacentral:rRNA from 1 species
GGGUUGUGAGGUUAAGCGACUAAGCGUACACGGUGGAUGCCCUGGCAGUCAGAGGCGAUGAAGGACGUGCUAAUCUGCGAUAAGCGUCGGUAAGGUGAUAUGAACCGUUAUAACCGGCGAUUUCCGAAUGGGGAAACCCAGUGUGUUUCGACACACUAUCAUUAACUGAAUCCAUAGGUUAAUGAGGCGAACCGGGGGAACUGAAACAUCUAAGUACCCCGAGGAAAAGAAAUCAACCGAGAUUCCCCCAGUAGCGGCGAGCGAACGGGGAGCAGCCCAGAGCCUGAAUCAGUGUGUGUGUUAGUGGAAGCGUCUGGAAAGGCGCGCGAUACAGGGUGACAGCCCCGUACACAAAAAUGCACAUAUUGUGAGCUCGAUGAGUAGGGCGGGACACGUGGUAUCCUGUCUGAAUAUGGGGGGACCAUCCUCCAAGGCUAAAUACUCCUGACUGACCGAUAGUGAACCAGUACCGUGAGGGAAAGGCGAAAAGAAACCCGGCGAGGGGAGUGAAAAAGAACCUGAAACCGUGUACGUACAAGCAGUGGGAGCACGCUUAGGCGUGUGACUGCGUACCUUU